rnacentral:rRNA from 1 species
CCUACGGGUGGCUGCAGUGGGGAAUAUUGGACAAUGGGCGAAAGCCUGAUCCAGCCAUGCCGCGUGUGUGAAGAAGGCCUUCGGGUUGUAAAGCACUUUCAGUGGGGAAGAAAGCCUUGGGGCUAAUACCCUCGAGGAAGGACAUCACCCACAGAAGAAGCACCGGCUAACUCCGUGCCAGCAGCCGCGGUAAUACGGAGGGUGCGAGCGGUAAUCGGAAUUACUGGGCGUAAAGCGCGCGUAGGCGGUCUGAUAAGCCGGUUGUGAAAGCCCCGGGCUCAACCUGGGAACGGCAUCCGGAACUGUCAGGCUAGAGUGCAGGAGAGGAAGGUAGAAUUCCCGGUGUAGCGGUGAAAUGCGUAGAGAUCGGGAGGAAUACCAGUGGCGAAGGCGGCCUUCUGGACUGACACUGACGCUGAGGUGCGAAAGCGUGGGUAGCAAACAGGAUUAGAUACCCGUGUAGUC